AUUGAACGCUGGCGGCAGGCUUAACACAUGCAAGUCGAGCGGGGUGAUGGUGCUUGCACUAUCACUUAGCGGCGGACGGGUGAGUAAUGCUUAGGAAUCUGCCUAUUAGUGGGGGACAACAUCUCGAAAGGGAUGCUAAUACCGCAUACGUCCUACGGGAGAAAGCAGGGGAUCACUUGUGACCUUGCGCUAAUAGAUGAGCCUAAGUCGGAUUAGCUAGUUGGGGGGGUAAAGGCCUACCAAGGCGAUGAUCUGUAGCGGGUCUGAGAGGAUGAACCGCCACACUGGGACUGGGACACGGCCCAAACUCCUACGGGAGGCAGCAGUGGGGAAUAUUGGACAAUGGGGGGAACCCUGAUCCAGCCAUGCCGCGUGUGUGAAGAAGGCCUUAUGGUUGUAAAGCACUUUAAGCGAGGAGGAGGCUCUUUUGGUUAAUACCCAAGAUGAGUGGACGUUACUCGCAGAAUAAGCACCGGCUAACUCUGUGCCAGCAGCCGCCGUAA
rnacentral:rRNA from 1 species